GAGUUUGAUCGUGGCUCAGAUUGAACGCUGGCGGCAGGCCUAACACAUGCAAGUCGAGCGGAUGACGGGAGCUUGCUCCUUGAUUCAGCGGCGGACGGGUGAGUAAUGCCUAGGAAUCUGCCUGGUAGUGGGGGACAACGUUUCGAAAGGAACGCUAAUACCGCAUACGUCCUACGGGAGAAAGCAGGGGGACCUUCGGGCCUUGCGCUAUCAGAUGAGCCUAGGUCGGAUUAGCUAGUUGGUGGGGUAAUGGCUCACCAAGGCGACGAUCCGUAACUGGUCUGAGAGGAUGAUCAGUCACACCGGAACUGAGACACGGUCCAGACUCCUACGGGAGGCAGCAGUGGGGAAUAUUGGACAAUGGGCGAAAGCCUGAUCCAGCCAUGCCGCGUGUGUGAAGAAGGUCUUCGGAUUGUAAAGCACUUUAAGUUGGGAGGAAGGGCAGUAAGUUAUACCUUGCUGUUUUGACGUUACGACAGAAUAAGCACCGGCUAAC
rnacentral:rRNA from 1 species